rnacentral:rRNA from 1 species
AAAUUCUAAUCGAACUCGGAGAUAGCUGGUUCUCCCCGAAAUAGCUUUAGGGCUAGCCUCGGGUUAGUCUUGCGGAGGUAAAGCACUGAAUGGGCUAGGGACCUUACCCGGUUACCGAACCCUCUCAAACUAAGAAUGCCGCAAAGAUGAUGCUCGGGAGUCAGACUAUGUGAGAUAAGUCGCAUGGUCAAAAGGGAAACAGCCCAGACCAUCAGCUAAGGUCCCCAAAUUACAGUUAAGUGGAAAAGGAUGUGGAUUUGCUAAGACAACUAGGAUGUUGGCUUAGAAGCAGCCACUCAUUCAAAGAGUGCGUAACAGCUCACUAGUCGAGUGAGUCCGCGCCGAAAAAUUACCGGGUCUUAAACUGUAUACCGAAGCUAUGGAUUUAUGUAUUAAUUUACAUGAGUGGUAGGGGAGCGUACUGUCGUAGGUUGAAGCAUUACCGUGAGGAGAUGUGGACGAAACAGUAGUGAGAAUGCCGGAAUAAGUAGCGAAAGCAUAGUGAGAAUCUAUGCCGUCGAAAGCCUAAGGGUUCCUGGGGAAGGUUCGUCCGCCCAGGGUAAGUCGGGACCUAAGCCGAGGCCGCAAGGCGUAGGUGAUGGACAACAGGUUGAUAUUCCUGUACCACCGAUAUCUGUCUGAGAGAUGUGGGGACGCAGUAGGAUAAACUGAGCCAGCAGCUGGAAUUGCUGGUCCAAGGGAAGUAGGAGUUGUGUAGGUAAAUCCGCACAGCAAUCCAAAAUCCUGAUGGGGAGGGAAAUUUAAAGUACCGAAGCAGUUGAUUCCACACUGACGAGAAAAGCCACUAUCGAGGAUAAAGGUGCCCGUACCGUAAACCGACACAGGUAGGCGAGGAGAGAAUCCUAAGAUGAUCGGAAGAAGUGUUGUUAAGGAACUCGGCAAAUUAACCCCGUAAGUUAGCGAGAAGGGGUGCCACAGCAAUGUGGCCGCAGUGACCAGGCCCAAGCAACUGUUUACCAAAAACACAGGUCUCUGCUAAAUCGAAAGAUGAUGUAUAGGGGCUGACGCCUGCCCAGUGCUGGAAGGUUACGGGAAUCUGUUAGCGCAAGCGAAGCAGUGAACUUAAGCCCCAGUAAACGGCGGCCGUAACUAUAACGGUCCUAAGGUAGCGAAAUUCCUUGUCAGGUAAGUUCUGACCCGCACGAAUGGCGUAAUGAUUUGGGCACUGUCUCAACAACACAUCCGGUGAAAUUGUAGUACUCGUGAAGAUGCGAGUUACCCGCGACAAGACGGAAAGACCCCAUGGAGCUUUACUGCAGCCUGAUAUUGGGUUUCGGUACUUUUUGUACAGCAUAGGUGGGAGGCUUUGAUGCAUGGACGCUAGUUCGUGUGGAGCCAUCCUUGGGAUACCACCCUGAAAGUAUUGGAACUCUAACCAUACACCGUUAUCCGGUGUUGGGACACUGUCAGGUGGGCAGUUUGACUGGGGCGGUCGCCUCCUAAAGAGUAACGGAGGCGUUCGAAGUUUACCUCAGCACGGUUGGAAAUCGUGCAUAGAGUAUAAAGGCAUAAGGUAGACUGACUGCGAGACAUACAGGUCGAGCAGGUACGAAAGUAGGACUUAGUGAUCCGGCGGUAUGAGAGUGGAAUUGCCGUCGCUCAACGGAUAAAAGUUACCCUGGGGAUAACAGGCUUAUCUCCCCCAAGAGUCCAUAUCGACGGGGAGGUUUGGCACCUCGAUGUCGGCUCAUCACAUCCUGGAGCUG